GUUAAACAUAACACUUGUUUGUCUGGGCAGAGGGUGUCUUAGUGACGAGUCGUGUUAGGCAAGUUAGUAAGAACGAUUAAGCCUCACAACACUGAUGGAGGAAAAACAUGAGUGACCAAAGUAAUGUAGUGGAGUAAUAUAGUGGCACAUUAAGUUAUAUAUAUCCCGCAGGCUAAACAGGCUAGACAGUAAAAGUCUGGAGUGACUAGUGAAG